AGGGCUGCAGGGGGUGGUUGCGCAUGGACAGUCCCUGGACAUGCAUCUCCUCCCUCCCCACAG
rnacentral:miRNA from 14 species